rnacentral:tRNA from 1 species
GCGAGCGUAGCUCAGCGGUAGAGCACUACGUUGACAUCGUAGGGGUCACUGGUUCGAUCCCAGUCGUUCGCA